UACGUAGGGGGCAAGCGUUGUCCGGAAUCAUUGGGCGUAAAGAGCGUGUAGGUGGCCCGGUCAGUCCGCCGUGAAAGUCCAGGGCUCAACCCUGGAAUGCCGGUGGAUACUGCCGGGCUGGAGUCCGGAAGAGGCGAGUGGAAUUCCUGGUGUAGCGGUGAAAUGCGCAGAUAUCAGGAGGAACACCAAGGGCGAAGGCAGCUCGCUGGGACGGUACUGACACUGAGACGCGAAAGCGUGGGGAGCAAACAGG
rnacentral:rRNA from 1 species